GAGCCGGCGGGUCGCAGAGGCGCCUCGGGGGCUCUUUCUCCCCCCGGCCCCCGGGGAGACUCACUCGCCUCCCGCCGGGAGGGGCCCCGCCAGCGGCGGUCGGAGCAUGUUCAGCUCCUCCAAUUGCAUUGAAGCCUGGUGAUGACAGGAGCCAGGAGUCGCACCCUGCGCGGGCCGGGGGGCAGCGACCCAGCCGCAGCCCGGCCGCUCGGCUCGGCCGGCGGCGAGGUGGGACCCGAGACGCUGCACAGCAGCGGGGGCUUAUCCCGAGUGGAAAGUUUCCUGCUCCGUCAAGCGCGUACAGAACAGAAACAACGAACAGACCGUGCCAGCGACUAACUCCUACUCGCCAAGCCAAAGGGACUAAGGGACACCAUUAAACAGCGGUCACAGAACCCAGGCAGUGGUUUAGUGAAAGAUGACAAGAUAGAGGGAAGGCAAGUGAAAGAGUGGGUUCUUCUGCUGAGAUUUACUGUCCAGGCAGAGGUGAAGUGAGGCGUGCAACAGCUUCUAAGCACCAGGACUCCGCAGUAGUAAAGACUGGCUCAUCGGAAGAGUGAGGAAACAGGAAACCAGCAGCAGAAAGAACAUCAUAAUUGUGAUGACCAGGAGGCUGAAGUUGCCACAUGGCACAAAUCCCACUCCAUCAGCAAAGCUUGGGAUCUUCACAUGGCAUCUGCUUUCUUCAGCCGUGUAUGUCCUAAAUUGCUCAGGAGCAGUGCUCUCCUCCUGUAGCCCUUAUGAACACUGCAUAAGGGGAGACUGAGUUGCCUGCUGUAAAACCAGAAAAGCAACUGCAGUCAGUAGCAGGAGGAUACACGGGAUUUAUGCGGUUAAGGAGAGGCUGCAGCAGCCUUUAUGCAGAAUUCCCAGCCCUUCUUGGUCCUGCCUGUCCUCUUCAUCAUUCCCCCAGUCUCAGAUGAGAGAAAACCAUCUAUGAAGAGACAGGUGUUAGUCAAGUCACUUAAUGCUCUACAGGAAGGUGAUCAGAUCCUACGGUGAUGAGAGUGGUGUUAUAAUCAAAGCUAAAGUUCUAUUUGAUCUAGUGUCCCUUUUUAGUAAACUAACUUCUGAAGUUAAGCCCUCUCUGGCUCAAUCCAUCCAACAGGGCCCCUCAUGAUACCCCCAAGUUGGGGUCUAGCUACCUGGCAAAGGUUCCUGCUCUGGGAUGGAGCAGCGCCCCAUCCUCCCUGCAGAUUCUUUGCCUUCACUUGAUUCCUCACUGACCCCAGCUUUCCCACUGAGCCACUCCUCUUGAACUCAGUUCACUGACCCCAGCUCUUCAGCUGAGACGGUCUCAGUUCAGGCCCCUUCUGGGGGUAAUAGUUCCAGAUACAGCCCUGCCCUGGGCCUGUUUAAACUCCCUAGCCUGUUUAAACUUCCCCGGGGGUGGGGGGGAGCCUGGGCUGGCUCACCCACAACUCCGGGUCCAGACCCAGAGACCUCUAAGUAGCAGCCAUGUGCCACACCCCUUUAACUAACUGUCUUUCUCUGGGCCACUUCCCUGUGGCCCCUGGCUUACUCAAGUCCUGGCAGGUAGCUGCACCUUCCUGGCUCCCCCAGUCCCUGCCAGCAACUGCUCUGUCCAGCCCUACAGCCACCCAGGAGUCCUGACUGAACUCAUGCUGGCCCCGCAGCUCUUUUUAUAUGAGUCUUAUGGAUCCUGAUUGGCUGCUUCCCUGCAGCUUCUUUAUGAUUGGCUGCUACCCACACAGCCGCUCUAGGUAGCUUGGAGGACCCACCUCCACUGCUCUUUUCUGGGGGCAGUAGGACUGAGAGGCCUUCAGCAGGGGGCCUCCGGGCCUAAUGCACCCAGUCACAAGAAGUCACUUCCUUUCCUUGUUCCAAGUAGCUCUGUAGCUUCUUGCCAUUCAAAAAAGCGGCAUAGAUGUCAAAUGCUCCUUCUCAGUCACAUUCAUACCCAUGAGUAAAGCACCUCAUGGAGCAUCCAUAGAAGAUGCCCAUUACUUAGAUUUUUUACUGGAAGAAAUUAACUGCCAAAAACAAUUCCACUUUUCCCCACAAGUGAUUAUAACUUGAAAUACUAUCAUUUUAAACCUAGAUAUUCAUUUAGCCUAAAAACUGAUUUUGCAUUAUUAUGAAUCAUAUUAACUCAAAUUUUAAAAUACUGUCCCUCCUCAUAAUGAUCUAAAACCCCAAAAAAUCAUUUCCAAAGUCCCUAUGCCAAGAGCGACCACAGAGACCCGAGCCAAGUCUGAAGAAGAGCACAGCCAUUGUUACCUAGAUAGUAGGGAAUUUGAUAAAGAAUCUGGAUUUGCCAUGACAUCUGUCACUCGGGCUUUCUUUGAUUAUUUUGAAUUAUUGUACAUAAUUUUUCAUAUUUGCAUAGUGCUUAGAGGUUCCAACCAAGAUUGGAGCUCCGUUGUACUAGGCACUGUGCAUACACAUUGUGAGAGACAGGCCCUGCCCCAAAGAGCUUAUGUCUCAACAGACAAAAGGUGGGAGAGAAAACACAGAGGUGAAAUUACUUGCCCAGAAUCACACAGCAGGUCAAUGGCAGAGUAAGGAAUACAAACCUGGUUUCCUAAGUGCCAGUUCAGUGCCCCAUCCUCUAGGCCACGCUGUUUUCUAUACGUAACUCUCCUACCAAGUAAUCAGCUGACUUACUGACUGACUGACAUACCAUCACAUACAGAAAAUUUGAAUUGGUGACCUAUUUAUGGAGAAAUUUAUAGCAAAAAUGUAACAAUAAUCCAGUUCAUCAUUAGCUCUCACUUUGUGAUUGAAGAAACAAAACCGAAUCAAAUCAAUCUGAUUUGCAUGAUGUGUUGUAUGCUUGCAGAUUUUGGUACAAAUGAGAGAGUUCAGCACUUAUAUUCUAACCUAAAAUUAAUUUUCCUUGUUGAUCUCAA